rnacentral:lncRNA from 1 species
CCUGGUAACAUAGCAAAGCUAAUAAUGUUAACUGGUUCUACCUGCAAUGAGAAAAAAGGACUAGCUCAGGCCCAAAGUUCGGUGAAUUGCCUGCACUAGACUAGGAAAGGCUCCACCCCUUAUCUGUACGAUGAAUUCAUUGUUAUACAUAUAAAUUAUUGCAUUGGCCUUGGACGAGACCCAUUAACGCACUCAGCCCCUCUCCAUCUUCUAUAUAUAUGUGGUUUCAUUUCAUUCCAAGGUACGUUCAUUCUAACCCGAACCAAACCCCCUCUCCCGUCUCUUGCACUUUUUAUUUUCUUUCUCCGACCGUUGACUUGAUCAUCGGAGUGCAAACGUUCGUCGAACCCUUUUCUCGACUGGAGGCCUUUGCUUCCUAACGAGGUGCUUUGUGUGCAGGUGAUGAGGGGACGAGAUCUUGGUGUAUUUUUUGAAAUCAACAUUCAUCUUCCUCUCAUUCCUUUCCAAAAGAUACCAACAGUUAGCACAUCAGCAACAUUCCUCCAGAACUUGAAAAGGCAAAUACAUUCCAACAUUAUUUUCUAUCUUAUUAAAAUAUAUUUGGUGCAACAAUAUUGUAUACAAACAUCUUAUUCCUUGAUAUGUUGCAUACUUUUCAUUUUUUUAAUCCUAGUUACCGUACACUUGGACGGAUUCAAAACGAGAUCAUAUAUUCAGCUUAUCAAUCAAGGUCGACAAUGAUAUGCGCAAGUUGCAAGCAUCUUUUCCAAGUCCCGGCCACAAAAUUUCGCUUUCACAAAGUCCGUGUCAAUUUUGAUUACUUGAUCCGCAGCAGAAAAAGGUCUUUGGUCUCAAG